rnacentral:rRNA from 1 species
GAUGAACGCUGGCGGCGUGCCUAAUACAUGCAAGUCGAGCGAACAGACGAGGAGCUUGCUCCUCUGACGUUAGCGGCGGACGGGUGAGUAACACGUGGAUAACCUACCUAUAAGACUGGGAUAACUUCGGGAAACCGGAGCUAAUACCGGAUAAUAUAUUGAACCGCAUGGUUCAAUAGUGAAAGACGGUUUUGCUGUCACUUAUAGAUGGAUCCGCGCCGCAUUAGCUAGUUGGUAAGGUAACGGCUUACCAAGGCAACGAUGCGUAGCCGACCUGAGAGGGUGAUCGGCCACACUGGAACUGAGACACGGUCCAGACUCCUACGGGAGGCAGCAGUAGGGAAUCUUCCGCAAUGGGCGAAAGCUUGACGGAGCAACGCCGCGUGAGUGAUGAAGGUCUUCGGAUCGUAAAACUCUGUUAUUAAGGGAAGAACAAAUGUGUAAGUAACUAUGCACGUCUUGACGGUACCUAAUCAGAAAGCCACGGCUAACUACGUG